rnacentral:ncRNA from 2 species
UAAAAUCAAAAAGCGCCUGAGCUUGAAAGGGACCUUCCUUUUAAGCUGACGAGGAUGGGGUUUAUCGAGAAUUCGGCGGGUGCCCCACGGAGCCUGCCCUCCGAAGGAAGCCUACAAAACCGGCAAGCGAUUGCCGGGACAAAGGGGCUUCCAGGCAGAAAG